rnacentral:lncRNA from 1 species
AAGGCCAGAGAAUAAAUUUGUUAAGCUUUGGGGGCCACAGUCUCUGUUGCAACUAUUCAACUUGGCCUUGGCAGCAUGAAAGCAGCCACAGAUGACACAUAGCUUUGCUCCAAUAAAACGUUAACUGAUGGACACUGACAGGUAAAUUUUGUGUAAUUUCCACAUCAUAAAGUACUAUUCUUCUUUCAAUUUUUCACCAAUCAUUUAAAAAUGUGAAAACCAGGCCGGGCAUAGUGGCUCACACCUGUAAUCCCAGCACUUUGGGAGACUGAGGCGGGCAGAUCACCUGAGGUCAGGAGUUCGAGAGCAGCCUGGACAAGGUGAAACCCCGUCUCUACUAAAAAUACAAAAAUUAGCCAGGCAUGGUGGUGGGCGCUUGUAAUUCCAGCUACUCGGUUAGCUGAGGCAUGAGAAUCACUUGAACCUGGGAGGUGGAGGUUGCAGUGAGCCAAGAUCAUGCCACUGCACUCCAGCCUGGGUGACUGAGACUCUGUCUCAAAAAAAUAAAAAAUAAAUAACUAAAUAAAAAUGUAAAAACCAUUCUUAGCUCAUGGGGCUGUAUAAAAACAGGCCACAGGUGGAUAUGGCUCUCGGCUGUGAGUUACAGACACCUGCUGUAGGGGGGCAAAAGGGCAGGAAAGGCACUCUCUGGCUUAAGCAUGGGUGGGGGCAUCCCAAACCAGGUCUACUUCUCUGUGUCCAGCAAGGGACUUACACCCGAUAACUCAUCUCUGCAUGACCUGCUCUUCUCGUCUUUCUCACCUCUCACCUGUAUUUGGGAUCCUUCCUGCUGGGAGCAUCCGGGUCUGUCAGGACCAAGGUGUAGAGCUUCCCUGAAUCAAGACCAUCCCACGAAAUGCUGGUGGGUCUAUUCUUAACCUGUAUGAAGGAACCAGUUUGCAGUAAAAAAGUCAGAAAUGCUGAAGAAACUGGCUGGGUGUGGUGGCUCACGCCUGUAAUCCCAGCACUUUGGGAGGCCUAGGAGAGAGGAUCACUUGAGGUCAGGGGUUUGAGACCAGCCUGGCCAACACGGUGAAACCUGCCUCUACUAAAACUACAAAAAUUAGCUGGGCAUGGUGGCGGGAAUCUGUAAUCCCAGCUACUCGGGAGGCUGAGGUGGGAGGAUCACUUGAGCUGGGGAGGCAGAGGCUGCAGGCGGCCAAGAUCACCCCACUGCACUCCAGCCUGGGCGACAGAGUGAGACUCUGUCUCAAAAACAAGAAAUGCUGAAGAAACCAAUACUCUUUCUUUGAUCUCAGACUCUCCAAAGACAAAACAGAAUAGAUUUUUAAUAAAAUCAAUGACCCUGUAUUGACUGUAAGAGCCAGGAGCUGGAGUUUUAUAUACGUUAUGUAUUUUAUUUGAGACCAGGUCUCCUUCUGUCACUCAGGCCGGAGUGUAGUGACGCUAUCAAGGCUCACUGUAGCCUCAACCUCCAGCGCUCAAUCGAUCGAUCCUCCCACCUCAGCCUCCUGAGCAGCUGGGAACUACAUGCUCACACCAUCACACCUGGCCAAUUUUUUUUUGUAGAGUUGGGGUCUUGCUAUGUUGCCCAGGCUGUAUAUUAUUUCAGUCCCAACAACACCAUGGGGCUAGUAUCCCAGCACACUAUUAAGAGAAACAGAUAAGGCUGGGAUUCCAACCCUGGCACUGAGUCCCCUCUCAACGACACCCUUACAUUGUCUGUCCGGAAUCACAGCGUUUCUGGAUUUGGUGAUCAGGAGGUUACCUGGAGCCUGCUGAAGUGAAAUCUGCAUUAACUGUACGUUUCAAAGUGCAAAGAAAAGGAGAAAGCCAAGGUGAUGAGAGGCGGGCAGGGAGCAGGAAAAGGGAGGCUGUGUUAGAUGGGCACUACAUAUUUAAACAUCCAAAAAAAUUAAAUUCUGUGAACAUCCAAAACAAUGUAAGGUCGGGGCAGUUUAUUUUACGCUGUUGCCCGGAGCUUCAUAACCAACUAGCAGUGGCGUCUGCAAAUCUAGUUUCUUCACUUUCGGCAGCCCCAGCCGUGGGCGUGGGAGGUCAAAGACCAAAACUAAACCGUUGCCCUCCAGCGUACCGGCUGGACGCUCUCGACCCAUUUAACAAAGGAGAAAUCGGCCGGCGCGCUCAUCGCCAGUUACAUAAUGCGUCACAGGCUCUCGGGUGAGGCUUCAGCCCUCCAAAACCAGGCCUAAAAUGCUGAGGCCCUAGGGGAAGCUCUGGGGGCGUCCGGGCAGCCACAGCCUACUCUGUCCCGGCGACGUCCCUCUCCAGCGCCCUGGCCUGUGGGGGGAGAGGGGGAUCCGGCCUGUUUCCGAACCUAGGUCCCUCUUGGGUCUGAAGCCCGGGAAAAGUGAAUGAAUUUCUGCCGCAGGCCGAACCUGCCUGGCCACGCCACAGGCCGGGUUCCCGGUGCUCGGGGUGGCCCCCAGGCAUGGGACAUGGACCCCGGGACCUCUGGCCUGGGGGGGCCUCGACACACGCAGGCUGAACCUCCCCACCGCCCCUGGCCCUGUCUCCGCUGGGUCCCACCCAGGAGGCCGGCACAGGCCUCCGCGCCGUGCCGCUCGCUGCACGCCCGCCGCCCGGUGUACCUGGGUGGGCGUCAGCACUUUGCCCAGCUCGUCCACCGGCAUGGCGAGGC